AACGAACGCUGGCGGCAUGCCUAACACAUGCAAGUCGAACGAGACCUUCGGGUCUAGUGGCGCACGGGUGCGUAACGCGUGGGAACCUGCCCUUAGGUUCGGAAUAACUCCCCGAAAGGGGUGCUAAUACCGGAUAAUGUCUUCGGACCAAAGAUUUAUCGCCUUUGGAUGGGCCCGCGUUGGAUUAGCUAGUUGGUAGGGUAAAAGCCUACCAAGGCGACGAUCCAUAGCUGGUCUGAGAGGAUGAUCAGCCACACUGGGACUGAGACACGGCCCAGACACCUGCGGAAGGCGGCAGUGGGGAAUAUUGGCCAAUGGGCGAAGGCCUGAUGCAGCAAUGCCGCGUGGGUGAUGAAGGCCUUGGGGUUGAAAAGCUCUUUUACCCGGGAUCAUAAUGACAGUACCGGGAGAAUAAGCUCCGGCUAACUCCGUG
rnacentral:rRNA from 1 species